UCAGCUCAAAGGCCGCUGAUACUCGCCUUCAUGCUGCAUUGCAGUCCUGCGAGUGGGAAGGUCCGCGUACGCCUCUUUUCUUGUUUCUGUGUAGAGACAGCUAGGCAUUUGCGCAACGAAUGGGAUAUGUGUGCAUAGUACCGGUAUGGUACACGUUCUGAGGAUGCAGCACCUCCUACAGCUCUUGCUGGGCGAGUGGCGUAAGGCCCUGAGGUUGACCUGCACCAGAAAUGACUCUUACGCAGUAGCCUGGUAUGGUGCUUUCCCCGACUAUGUCGCUCGGAGACACAUGCUAGGAGUGCGAGCGGAGAUUGGAAUCAGGUCUACUUGAUGGAGCCUGUAUAUUUAGAGCGUGGUAACUAUGUGCAGAUUUGACACCCUGAUGUUGUUCAGAUGCAUAGUUGACGAGGCAUUGCCUCCCAAGAAACAGGUCGCUUGGGGAACUAAGCUUGAGUGCAAUCAGUGGCGCCUCUAUGUAGGGAAAACUCGACGCGAGACUACUCUUGAGCUGA
rnacentral:RNase_P_RNA from 1 species